UUGUUCCCCUUUGUUUACUUCCUCUUUGAAAAGUGCCUUUGAAAAAAGCUGUAGAAUGUGGUUGUGUAACAGGUGAAGGAAGCUAGGCCAUGUCUACAGCUGCAAAAGUAACAUUAGCAACAUCUAUAGCUGCAACUGUAGGAAUAAUUUCUUUUGUGCAUUAUAAACAGAAAAAUGACCAAAUGGUAAUGCGAGAAGGUGUAUUGAGAGACAUGGAAAGGCAAGAUAAAAAAGCUCAGAACUUAAUGGAAUUAAAUAGGCAGAAAACAAUGACUAAAGCUUUACUUCAACAGAGAGAACAAGAGGAACAAAAUCUGAAGCAUGAAAGCAGUUAAAGACGCUGUGUAUGCAUAACACAUGAUGAGAUUAUUACCUCUUUGGAUAAUCAUGUUACCUCAGCAACAGAUUUUAUUAGAUGGAAGUGUCUUUAUUGUAGAAAUCACCACCAAGAUAACAUUUUUUUACAUAUUUUAUUGUUAAUAAAGAAGUGUUGAUUACUCAU